GACGAACGCUGGCGGCGUGCUUAACACAUGCAAGUCGAACGGAAAGGCCCUGCUUUUGUGGGGUGCUCGAGUGGCGAACGGGUGAGUAACACGUGAGUAACCUGCCCUUGACUUUGGGAUAACUUCAGGAAACUGGGGCUAAUACCGGAUAGGAGCUCCUGCUGCAUGGUGGGGGUUGGAAAGUUUCGGCGGUUGGGGAUGGACUCGCGGCUUACCAGCUUGUUGGUGGGGUAGUGGCUUACCAAGGCUUUGACGGGUAGCCGGCCUGAGAGGGUGACCGGCCACAUGGGGACUGAGAUACGGCGCAGAAUCCUACGGGAGGCAGCAGUGGGGAAUAUUGCACAAUGGGCGGGAGCCUGAUGCAGCAACGCCGCGUGCGGGAUGACGGCCUUUGGGUUGUAAACCGCUUUCGCCUGUGACGAAGCGUGAGUGACGGUAAUGGGUAAAGAAGCACCGGCUAACUACGUG
rnacentral:rRNA from 1 species